UGGUUCCUCCCAAAAUUCAGGGUCUCUAUUGAUGGCCCAUCCGUUGACGAACACUCGAGUUUUCUUUGGAACGAAGUAGUCUUUUAUAUAGCAAUCUUUGAGUGAUUCUCUCGGAAGUAACAGUGGAGCUGGAGGGUGUAACCGCAAGGUUUCUUUAACCACGGCCUUCAAGUAGGUCAUCGCGUUCAACUGUUCCUCUCGAACCAUGCGUUUUUCGAGAACGAUCCCUCUCACCUCAUCUUGUAGUUUUUCCAUUGUUUUGGAGUUUCGAACAAGCUCCGCCAUGGCCCAUUCUAGGGUUGUAUAAGUUGUCUCUGUUCCUGCGCCAAACAUACCCUGCAAAUAUAUAAAACAAAGAUGAUACCAAGUAUUAAAGUUUAUAUAGUCAAAAAUAAAUAAAUAAAUAGAAGAACUUUGGUCUACUUUGGUUGUGCUAAUAAUUUCUUUUUUUUUCCUCCAGUGCCUUUGAACUAAUGAUUCAAAAUUCAAAAAUAUUACCAUCGAAAUUGCUUUCAUGUGAUCUUUCUCCAACUUGAAAUCCAAAUUUGAAUCUUUCUGAAGUGAGAGCAACACAUCGACGAAGUCCUCUUCCCCAUCAUCCUUUCCAUUCUCAUGAUCCUCAAUCACCUCAUCAAGUAGAUCAUCCCAUCUCUUGAAGUUCCUUCUCGCCCUCGAACUCAACCCCCCCAAGAACACGCCCAACCACGCUAACCAAGGGAAGUAGUCCUCUAUAUUAAACGCACCUAGAAGAUACGAAUUCUCCUCGAGAAGCUCAUGGAAGAGUUCAUUCCUUCGCCCUCCUCUAAAGAGCUUUCCCGAAACCACCCUACAUGUCAUAUCAUUUGCGAAAGAGAAUAGAACUUCACUCAUAUCUAUUGUUCUAGGCGAAGAACAUUGUCUUAUCUUUUCUAUCAUGAACGCGACUUCCUCCUCCCUCAUGAGAUGAUAAGAUUGCACCCUUUUCGCGCUUAGGAGGUGAAUGAUACAAAGCUGUCUUACCUUCCUCCAAUACUCACCGUAUGGUGAGAAACCCAAGCCCAUGUUGUUGUAGAAAAGGAUCUUCGUGACCUUCGAAGAAGGUCGGUUCGCAAAACUUAUGUCGUGGGUCUUCAUGAUCUCACGCGCCAUGUCGGGUGAGGAGACGAUAAGCGUAAGGAUUUCGCCAAGUUGGAGAAGCAUGAGGGGGCCAUGCUUCUUCGAGAGAGAGGCGAGAGAGCGAUGAGGGAGCGAACCGAGUUGGUGGAGGUUUCCUAUGAGAGGAAGCUUGGGAGGGGAAGGGGGGAGCUUGGUUUUGUGAGAGGAAGUUCUUUUGGUGAUAACAAGGAAAUAGAAAAGAGGGGGAAGGAGGAGAGAGGCCAUUAGAGAUAGGCCUAGUGCAACUUGUAGUAUUGUUAGGGCCAUUGCUUCAAAGUGUUAUUCUCUUGAAGACACUAUUAAUUUGCUCAGUUUGCCUUUCAUUUAUAGUUGUAGAUGGUUUGCAUUUAUACACUUGAUAGCAGUGGAUGCACUAAUUGAAGAUAUUAUAUAUUUCUACUCUUGUAGUGUAGCAUAUCACUCCUGAUGAGAUAUAAUAUACAACAUUAGUUUAUAUAAGAAAAGGUUUCAUUUUAAUGGAAAUUAAACUUUUUUAUUCAGUGACAAAUAUCAAGAAUUAAAUCUACAACAUCAUAAAAUAGAAGAGAAUUAUAUAUAUAUCAUGUACAAAAUUACAAGAGAGAUAACAAAAAAAUCGAAAUAAAAAUACAUUUAAUUGACCUAUUAAAUUGUAAAUGAAAGGAACUUACCAAAACAUGAAAACCAAGGAAUUUAAAACUGACUCCAAUAGAUGUAUUAUGUAGAAAACAACUUAGAAAUAAUUUUAUUAAAUGGCAAUUAUAUGUCAUCUAUGGAUAAGGGCCCUUCCAAACCAGCCGAAUAAAACAAAAUUAUAUAUAUUUUAUAAAAAAGAAAUGAAUGAGAAGUAGAACCCAAGAAACGAAGAACCACAAUUAAUGCAUGCACACCUACACAAGUGAGACAAAUAAAUUAAAGCACCUCAAGGAAAAUUCCAUACCAAGUGUAUAUGCAAAUGGAAUUUUGUGCUUGUUCAUAUAUAAUUUCAGCUUAGCUGAUAAGCGCGCAAAAAAAAAAAAAAAAAGGAAAAUUGAAUGCUCAAUUUAAGUCGUUCGUAUCUUACUGUUAUUACAAAUUUGGACUUAUAAUUGUGCCACUGAUACUUUUUUUUUUUUUUUUUUAAGUGACACACGCAUAACUGACAUUGAGCAUUUUUUUUUUUUUUUUAUUUUUUUUACUCUUGGUAGAGGUGGCUAGAAUUCUCCACACUAUAAAAUUUAUGACAUUUAGCAAGAAUAAUUAUUGUUACUCUGGCUAUUGUCGUACAGUUUAGUAGUUAAUAUUUAUUUCGUCAUUAAUUUUUAGCACUAUAAAAGCUAAAAGUUUUAUAGUGCUGUGGAAGUAGAGACAAGAUUUUUCAAUGUUGCUUGUUUUUAGUAUCUAUUUUUAUUUUUAUGUCACAUCUCAAAAUUUGUAGUAACAAUUGACUUAAUUACUAGAUGAUGAAUCGAAGUUGAGCCAGAAUAAUUCUAAAAAUAUUACUGUUCAUAUAAUUUUAACUUUUCAAUCUUUGGAUUUACAAUUAUUUCAUCUACUAUCACUAAACUCCGGGCAUUCAAAUGUUGGCUUAAAUGGACACUGCUCUGUGACGGGAGACCAUGUUGACCGAGUCAUGUUCGAAAUGGCAUAAGACAGGAUGGGUCGAGUCAUGUUCGAAAUGGUGCGAGAUUGGUUGGGUCGAGUCACAAUCGAGACCCGUAGGUGCUGCAUUUGUAUGCUUUAAGUGAAUUGAUUGUAUAUUUUUAACAGCUCGAGCUUUUGGGAUUUAUGGUGCGCGCCAACGAUUCUGAUGAAUUAUACAUUUUCACAUAAGUUAAAGGGGUGAUUUAGCCCUAUUAUAUAAAUAAUAAUACUUGCUAGUCCAUAAUAAUUAUUAUCAACAUGGAACCUAAUCCAAAUAAUUAAUCAAUUGGGUCUAAUUAUUGGAUUUGGACUAAUUAUUUAUUGCUAGAUUUGGUCAAGAGAUUAAUUCAAGUACGACUUUUCCACUUCACUUUCAAUGUGGAAGAAACACUGACUUAUCACACAUGAUUCCAAAAGCACUUAAUUUCCAAAGAAGUUUUAUUGCUUAAAUUUUCUCUGGGCUAAAUUAGCUUUCCCCAAAAAACUUGCGAUGCAAGUAAAAGCAUAAUUAACUUUUCAUUUAAUAGAAAGAAAAAAAAAAGAAAUUGGAGAUGAUAAAAUAUCUGCAUCAAUAAUCAGCAUUAAUUGUUAAAAUAUAGAAUUUAUUUGAACUAUAAAACCAUUUUGAAUUUAUUUGAACUAUAAACAUAAUCUAAAUAAGUUAAAGUAUUUAGAUACAAACGUAUAGAAUUUAUCUGAACUAUAAAUUAACCAAUUUGAAUCUACUACUCAACCUUUCAAAAUUUUGAAUUUACUAUCCAACCUUUUAAUUUGUAUGAUUUUAGUCGGUCAACAUCACUUUGACUUCAAAAUGUAAUUAAACUAAUUACUUAUUUCAAUAAACUUAUGAUUCCGAGAAUUGCAUGAAGUAUAUAAACUAAAUCUGUAACGGUCUAUAAUUCAUGUAAUUUCUAUAUGUUUUCACCAAGUAAUUAGGAGUCAAUUAAAAGGGGAAAAAAUUAUUAAUGUAAUCCGAAUUAUGUGGAAAUACAAUAUGAUAAAUUUUUAGGUAAUUCAAAUUCACCUUUUCCUUGAAAGAAAAAAAAAAUGCCAGUUUUGAGAUCUUUUAAAUCAUAACAAUUUCAACUAGUUUUUGAUAAUUUUAAACACUCUAGAUCAUAGUUGGCUAUUCGAACCGUCUCUUCAAAUUAAUUUUUAAUUUUAUUCGCCAAUACGAAGAUUUUACAUACAUUCCAAGCAACAUACUACAACAAGCUCAUUCCAGAGAGAAUGGUACCAUCAUUUAAUUUGGAUAACAACAACUUUCUACGGCAAACAAGGUUUUGCAACUAAGUGAAGUUUUUCGGCCCGAGGAGUCAAAAAUCCAGGUUUCUCACUCAUAUCCAAUUCCUCUCUUCUCAAUCCAAGAGGCAACUCCCACUCGAACCGAUGAACAAGAUUAGCCAACGCGAGCUCGACAUCCAACACGGCAAAUUGCAUUCCGGGACAUAUCCUUCGACCUGCCCCGAAGGGAAUGAACUGGAAAUCGUGACCUUUGAAAUCCACCGAGCUAUCGAUAAACCUCUCGGGACGGAACUCAUCUGGUUCCUCCCAAAAUUCGGGGUCCCUAUUGAUAGCCCAUCCGUUGACGAACACUUGAGUUUUCUUUGGAACAAAAUAGUCUUUUAUGUAGCAAUCAUCGAGUGAUUCUCUCGGAACUAAUAGUGUAGCUGGAGGGUGCAACCGCAAGGUUUCUUUAACCACGGCCUUCAAGUAGGUCAUCGCGUUCAACUCAUACUCUCCAACCAUUCGAUUUUCGCCGACAAUCCCUCUCACCUCAUCUUGUAGCUUUUUCAUUACUUCGCAGUUCCGAACAAUCUCCGCCAUGGCCCAUUCUAGGGUUAUAAAGGUUGUCUCCGUUCCUGCACCAAACAUAUCCUGCAAGAAUGAGAAAUAAAAAUAAGACAAAGUAUUUGAGGUCAAAAUAUAUAUAGUCAAAAAAUAAAAGUAAAAAAGAACAAAACUUUGGUCUCAUUUUCAUAGUGCCAAUAAUUUUUCUUUUUUU
rnacentral:lncRNA from 1 species